GCAAACAUGAACCGAAAGGAUCAGCCGAACACUACAAAGUGAAGCAAACGAUGCACUCUAUGCCAAUAUUUCGACAGCGAAGGGUGGUGAGGACGUGUAUGCAGACUAUGAAAGUGUCGAUACUCCAAUGGUGGAGCGUAGAAAGAAUUGGUUCAGUCGACAAAUAUCUCGCAUGGGUUCAGUGCGGAGCUCGUCGACAGCCUAUUCGUCCGGUGGCGUAUUCAAGCGAAACCGUAACAACUCGGUUUAUGCUAAUCCCGAGGCGGUUUACCAGGACAGACUACUCAACCGCCUGCGCAUAAAAUGAGUUUGUACGAGAAAUUUGUGAGUCGGAAAUCGGAUCGACAACAGCGACAGUUUUUUGAAGCAAAAUUCCAAAUUAAAUCUGAACGGAGCACUCUCGA